UACGGGGGGGGCAAGCGUUGUUCGGAAUUACUGGGCGUAAAGGGCUCGUAGGCGGCCAACUAAGUCGGACGUGAAAUCCCUCGGCUUAACCGGGGAACUGCUUCCGAUACUGGAUGGCUUGAGUGUGGGAGAGGGAUGCGGAAUUCCUGGUGUAGCGGUGAAAUGCGCAGAUAUCAGGAAGAACACCCGUGGCUAAGGCGGCUCUCUAGUACGGUACUGACGCUGAGACGCGAAAGCGUGGGGAGCGAACAGG
rnacentral:rRNA from 1 species